rnacentral:lncRNA from 1 species
GAUUAGCCCACAUUGAGCUCCACAUUUUAUAGGCAUGUAUGGUUGUCUAGUUAACUGUUUAGGUUCAAAUAAUUAUUACAAAGUCCCUGACGGGAUAUCUUGUCCAAUUUAAAAGUUUACCGGAAUGUUUUUUCAUUGAAAAUGUUGUUGAAUUUAAAGCACCACCAAAAAUGAACUAAGCACCAGAGGAGGAAGCAUCUGUCUUAAGGUCUAACAUCCAGGGCUGGGGUCCAAUAUCAUUAAAAAAAUUCAUAUCAGCACCAUCAAAAAAAACCUCACCAUUACAGAUGAUAGCUUAAAUUCCACCACAAUGUCCAAUAAACAGGAAGAUGGGUCUACAAAACUCUUUUGGGGUCUAUGUUGAUUUGUAGGGCCCAUUAACCUGCAAACACUUUUAUCCAAUCCUAAGUAUAAAGGUCUACUAUGGUAAAUGUAUAUUUCGUUAAAAAAAAAGUAACAAGCACCACCAAAAAUAAUGUAACUUCGCUCCCGUUAGUCCAACCAAUGGAUAUAGUUGACUGAAACACUCUUUGGAGUUGUAAGUUGGUUAGUUAUGCUCAUUAGUCCACAGGCACAUAUGGUCCAAUCUACACAAGUCCUGGGGUCUUUUGGUGUAUAUAUCAUUUAAAGAAAAAUAUAAGCACCACAGAAAAAAAACUUAGCACCACGGGAGGUAGCUUCCCUCAGAUUGGUCCAACUGACGUGUAUAGGGGUCUAAAGCACUCUAUUGGGGUCUAAGAUGGUUUGUUAAGCUCAUUAGUCCACAGGCACAUAUGGUCCAAUCUACACAAGUCCUGGGGUCUGUUGGUGUAUAUAUCAUUUAAGAAAAAUAUAAGCACCACAGAAAAAAACUUAGCACCACGGGAGGUAGCUUCCCUCUGAUUAGUCCAACUGACGUGUAUAGGGAUUGUCUAAAGCACUCUAUUGGGGUCUAAGAUGUGUUUGUUAAGCCAAUUAGUCCACAGGCACAUAUGGUCCAAAUCUACACAAGUCCUGGGGUCUGUUGGUGUAUAUAUCAUUUAAGAAAAAUAUAAGCACCACAGAACACCAAUUGGUCCAACUGACGUGUAUAGGGGUCUAAAGCACUGUAUUGGGGUCUAAGAUGGUUUUUUAAGCUCAUUAGUUUACAGGAACAUCCUGGGGUCUGUUGGUGUAUAUAUCAUUUAAGAAAAAUAUAAGCACCACAGAAAAAAACUUAGCACCACGGGAGGUAGCUUCCCUCCAAUUGGUCCAACUGACGUGUAUAGGGGUCUAAAGCACUCUAUUGGGGUCUAAGAUUUUGUUAAGCUCAUUAGUCCACAGGCACAUAUGGUCCAAUCUACACAAGUCCUGGGGUCUGUUUGGUGUAUAUAUCAUUUAAGAAAAAUAUAAGCACCACAGAAAAAAACUUAGCACCACGGGAGGUAGCUUCCCUCCAAUUGGUCCAACUGACGUGUAUAGGGGUCUAAAGCACUCUAUUGGGGUCUAAGAUGGUUUGUUAAGCUCAUUAGUCCACAGGCACAUAUGGUCCAAUCUACACAAGUCCUGGGGUCUUUUGGUGUAUAUAUCAUUUAAGAAAAAUAUAAGCACCACAGAAAAAAAACUUAGCACCACGGGAGGUAGCUUCCCUCCAAUUGGUCCAACUGACGUGUAUAUAGGGGUCUAAAGCACUCUAUUGGGGUCUAAGAUGGUUUGUUAAGCUCAUUAGUCCACAGGCACAUAUGGUCCAAUCUACACAAGUCCUGGGGUCUUUUGGUGUAUAUAUCAUUUAAGAAAAAUAUAAGCACCACAGAAAAAAAAACUUAGCACCACGGGAGGUAGCUUCCCUCCAAUUGGUCCAACUGACGUGUAUAGGGGUCUAAAGCACUCUAUUGGGGUCUAAGAUGGUUUGUUAAGCUCAUUAGUCCACAGGCACAUAUGGUCCAAUCUACACAAGUCCUGGGGUCUUUUGGUGUAUAUAUAUAUCAUUUAAGAAAAAAUAUAAGCACCACAGAAAAAAAACUUAGCACCACGGGAGGUAGCUUCCCUCCAAUUGGUCCAACUGACGUGUAUAGGGGUCUAAAGCACUCUAUUGGGGUCUAAGAUGGUUUGUUAAGCUCAUUAGUCCACAGGCACAUAUGGUCCAAUCUACACAAGUCCUGGGGUCUUUUGGUGUAUAUAUAUCAUUUAAGAAAAAAUAUAAGCACCACAGAAAAAAAAACUUAGCACCACGGGAGGUAGUCUUCCCUCCAAUUGGUCCAACUGAACAUGUAUAGGGGUCUAAAGUACUCUAUCGGGGUCUAAGUUGGUUUGUUAAGCUCAUUAGUCUACAGGCUCAUAUGGUCCAAUCUACACAAGUCCUGGGGUCUUUUGGUGUAUACAUGAAUCAUUGGUCCAAAAGCAACUGUGGUCCAAUAUGCAUUAGUCCAGGGUUUCAGGAUAUAUAUUAAACUAAAGAAAAAUAUAAGCACCACCAAAAAGAGACUUAGCACCACAGUAGUUAGCUUCCCUUCCUUUGGUCCAACAGAUGGGUAUAGGGGUCUAAAUACUCUUUGGGGUUCUAAGUUGGUUUGUAAGGCUCAUUGGUCCACAGGCAACUUUGAUCCACUCUUCAAGUCAAGGGUCUUUUAUAUUAUAUUUUAUUUGAUAAAAAUAUAAGCACCACCAAAAACAAACUUUGCAUCUCAAGAGGUAGCUUCCCUCCCAAUGGUCCAAAGGAUGGGUAGUGGGUCUAAAAUAGUCUUUGUUCUUAGGGUUUGUAAGGCCUGUUGGUCUAAAAGCAACUGUGGUCCAAUCUACAUUAGGCUAGGGGUCUCUGGGUAUAUUUCACUGAAGAAAAAUAUAAGCACCACCAAAAAGAAAUGUAGCACCACAGGAGGUUACUUCCCUCCAUUUGGUCCAACAGAUGGGUAUAGGGGUCUAAAUACUCUUAGGGGUACUAAGUUGGUUUGUAAGGCUCAUUGGUCAACAGGCAACUGUGGUCUAAUCUUUAAGUUAAGGGUUCUCAUAGGGUGUAUUUCAUUAAAGAAAAAUAUAAGCACCAAGAAAAACAAACUAAGCACCAUGGGAGGUAGCUUUCCGCUCGUUGGCCCAACAGACAGAUUUAGGGGUCUAACAUAUUCUUUGGGUCUAAGAUGAUUUGAAAAGCUCAUGUGGUUCAAUCUUCUAGUCCAGAGGUCUGUUGUAGUAUAUUUCAUUUAAGAAAUAUAAGCACCAUCAGGCACAAACUAAGCACCAUGGGAGGUAGCUUUCCUCUCAGUGGUCCAUCAGAUAGGUUAAGGGGUCUAACCCACUCUUUUGGGUCUAAGAUGAUUUGAAAAGCACAUGUGGGGCAAUCUUCUAGUCCAGAGGUCUGUUGUGGUAUAUUUCAUUAAAAAAAUAUAAUAAGCACCACCAAAAAUGAACUUAGCAACACGGAUGAUUGCUUCCACUGCCUUGAUCCAAUAAACAGGUAUAGGGAUGUAAAAAACACUUUGAGAGGUCUAUGUUGAUUUAUAUGGCCCACUGUCUGUGUCCAAUCUACGAGUCCAGGAGUUUUAUGAUAUAUUUCAUUAAAGAAAAACUUGAUUUUGUUUUACAGGGCCAUUUGGUCUACAUGUAUGCACAAAAUGUUACUGACAGGUCUGUAUCCUUAAAGCUGUGUAAAUGCAAACAAAUGUUGUGAGGAGAUUUUAAAGCCAGAAAAAUUGUAUUUCUUAUGAUAAUUCUCCAUUGCUCUCCCUGUCUUCAAGGCAAAAACCCUCUAAAGGAGCACAUGAAAUAGUAUGAAAUAAGCACCUUAAAACAUGAAGUAACUUUGUAAAAAAGAAGAAAAAACAAAUAUGAUAUUCAGCAAUGAUAACAGGCUGCUGACUUAGAACAGUCACAUAUAGAAAAACAUAAAUAACAUGACAUGUUCAUUAUGGUGUGAUAAUUAAAGUCAUAUGCUAAAUUAUUGAUUCUCAAUUGUACAUCAUUUUCAUGAAAUUGUGUGUCUAACUAUAUAUCUAAAUCUUGUUUUUCUUUCCACAGAUUAUCCAAAUUGACGUCAAAAGUGUUCAGAUAUCAGAUGUACUACAGCUAAAGAAUGAAAUUAAUUGUGGUCAUUUCACAGCUUUUGCCUACAGUCAGCUUUUUAUGGUAGGAUAAUAUGCACGUCUUAAGUAUUAAUAGUGUAUACAAAUGUAAAAUAAAUCAAUGUAUACACACCUUUUAUCAAUUAAUAAUUUGUUCAUUCAUUUUCCCAUAUUUUGAUAAAUUACAUUGCACAUAAUCUAAAUAAAUUAUCACAUAUUAAAGUAAACAAUAAGUAUAUCCAAUUGGACAAAUAUAAGUUUCAAGUAGACAAUUAUUCUAUAAUAUUACAAAAGUGGCAGAUGACCUGUAGUUGUUAAUUUCUGUAUCAUUUGGUCUCUUGUAAAGAGUUGUCUCAUAGGCAAAUACAUUUACAAUCUGUUAGGGAGCUGAUUUUACUGAUUCAGACAAUUUAUUUCAUUCUAUCUUGAUUGAUUAUGUAGCACUAAACAAUUGUCACAAGCAAACAUGUAUUUGAAUUUCAAGUUAUUAUUUAAAUAAAUUGAGUCUUUAUUAUUUCAGUGAAUUAAAGAAUGAAGAGAAAUCAACUUAUUAAUACCCAAGCUGACCAACUGUCAAGAAAGAGAAGACAAGGCAACUCCAUCUGAAGGAAAUUAAAAGAAAAGAUUUAAUCAUUACAACAAUAGAUGUGAAAAUGUUAUUUUUUCAAUCUAAAACACACAUAACAAAAAAUACACUUAAGAAAUACUGUUCAAGAUUGAUUCUUAAAAUAUCAGUCUUACUUUUUUUUAUAUACUUGAAGAUGUAUUGUAAAAGUAAAUUUGUUAGAUUAAAGUUUUUCAAGGCUUGAAUUAUCUCCCCUUAUUAAUCUCCAAAAAAACUUUAUGCAAGACUAUUUGUUUUCCAACUCCUAGAAUUCUAAAUGUUUAAAGUUGAAAACAUGUGUCAAAUUUGUUUCUUCUUUGUUUACGGUUUUAUGAUUGGAGUUCAACCUUUAAUCUCAAGAACAAAAUAAAGGAAAUCUACUGUGCACAAAAGUCUUCCUCUUUUUUUUAUGAAUUGUAAAGAUAAUUUUUGAAGACGGACAAUUUAACACUGUAUUAGAGAAAUUUAGUUUGCAGAAAUUCAAGAUACAUUUUGUAAAACCAAACGGGAAUAUGACUUUUUUACUUAAAUUAGUUCUUAUUUCAAAAUCAAAUGACUAAGGGAGAUAACUCUACUUCUAAAUUAUUUAUCUGAAAUAGUAAAUUAAAGUGGCUCAUUUUAGUAUUAUCACUGACUGAUAGAUUUGUCCCUUAAUAGAGAUUAAUGUUCCUAACAAUUGAUGCUAACUUAUAUUUGCUGAUGCAAAUUAUCCCUUAAUUUUAGAUUUUUACUUUUUAAUUAAAUAUAUGUUGUUUUCAGGAGUUGUGUCCCUUUAAUAUUUUUUUAUUUAUCAGAAUAUGUUUGGUAUAUAUGUAAUCAAGGCGGUAUUUUAUGCUGAUUACAUUAUCUUUAUUUAUAUUCAAGGUUGUCAAACAAUCCUGUAGUUGUAGUAUUUUUGAAUUUAGAGAUGAUCUGUAUAAAUAUGUAUUAAAAUUAAUUGUUUCUUUUGCACGCCCCCUCAAUUACAUAGUAAUGGCUUAUUUUUUUUUAUACCAACCUUAAUGGUGAAAGUAUUCAGAAUUUGAUGAAUUCUGAAAUUCUGCAUUUUAGAUCUGUGGUAAUAAAUAAGUUAUUUGAAUUUGAAACAUCAUUUAAGUUGACAUGUUACAUUUUCAAACAUUUACAAAUGAACACAUUUUUAUUUUAUUUGAAAAGAUAAUAAAUUGAAAAACUUAUUACAUUUUAAAUUAAUGUAUCUCCUACCUACUGAUACUUCUAAGAAUUCUGUAUGCAAAUAAAAAUGUUCAUAGGUAUUAAAUUUAUAGAAAGUCAAACUUGAAAAGAAACUGGGGUUGAUGUGCAUAAUUUAUGUUUAAUUUGAAAUUGUAACAAAUUAUAAACUUUUAUUUGAUUGUACAUUGUGCUGAAUGUUGAUUGAAGUUCAUCUGUAUAGAUGAAACUUAUGUUUUGAAUAUUCAUUGAUUAAUAAACUUAAUAAGAGUAUAAUGCAAUACCUGUCUUUGUAUUUUUUAUGAAUCAAUUCAGAGCUACCACAAUUUAUAUCACAAAAAAAACA